AUUGAACGCUGGCGGCAGGCCUAACACAUGCAAGUCGAACGAGUGGCGGACGGGAGAGCAAUGACUGGGAAUCUGCCUGAUGGAGGGGGUUAACUACUGGAAACGGUAGCUAAUAACGCACUCCAUCGGAUGUGCCCAGAUGGGAGUAGCUAGUGGGUGGGGUAAAGGCUCACCAAGGCGACGAUCCCUAGCUGGUGUGAGAGGAUGACCAGCCACACUGGAACUGAGACACGGUCCAGACUCCUACGGGAGGCAGCAGUGGGGAAUAUUGGACAAUGGGCGCAAGCCUGAUGCAGCCAUGCCGCGUGUAUGAAGAAGGCCUUCGGGUUGUAAAGUACUUUCAGCUGGGAGGCGUUACCCGCAGAAUAAGCACCGGCUAACUCCGUGCCAGCCGCCGCGGUAAUAC
rnacentral:rRNA from 1 species